AUUGAACGCUGGCGGCAGGCCUAACACAUGCAAGUCGAACGAGUGGCGGACGGGUGAGUAAUGUCUGGGAAACUGACUGCUGGAGGGGGAUAACUACUGGAAACGGUCGCUAAUACCGCAUACCCUAAGAUGUGCCCAGAUGGGAUUAGCUAGUUGGUGGGGUAACGGCUCCACAAGGCGACGAUCCCUAGCUGGUCUGAGAGGAUUACCAGCCACACUGGAACUGAGACACGGUCCAGCCGCCUACGGGAGCCAGCAGUGGGGAAUAUUGCACAAGGGGCGAAAGCCGGAUGCAGCCAGGACGCGUGUAUGAAGAAGGCCUUCGGGUUGUAAAGUACUUUCAGCGGGGAGGCGUUACCCGCAGAAGAAGCACCGGCUAACUCCGUGCCAGCAGCCGCGGUAAUUC
rnacentral:rRNA from 1 species